GUUUAUUUAGUUUAAAAAAAACACUAAAUUUGUAAUUUAGAAUUAAUACUUGAUUAAUAAACA
rnacentral:tRNA from 1 species